GAUGUUAGCGGCGGACGGGUGAGUAACACGUGGGUAACCUACCUAUAAGACUGGGAUAACUCCGGGAAACCGGGGCUAAUACCGGAUAAUAUUUUGAACCGCAUGGUUCAAUAGUGAAAGACGGUUUCGGCUGUCACUUAUAGAUGGACCCGCGCCGUAUUAGCUAGUUGGUAAGGUAAUGGCUUACCAAGGCGACGAUACGUAGCCGACCUGAGAGGGUGAUCGGCCACACUGGAACUGAGACACGGUCCAGACUCCUACGGGAGGCAGCAGUAGGGAAUCUUCCGCAAUGGGCGAAAGCCUGACGGAGCAACGCCGCGUGAGUGAUGAAGGUCUUCGGAUCGUAAAACUCUGUUGUUAGGGAAGAACAAAUUUGUUAGUAACUGAACAAGUCUUGACGGUACCUAACCAGAAAGCCACGGCUAACUACGUGCCAGCAGCCGCGGUAAUACGUAGGUGGCAAGCGUUAUCCGGAAUUAUUGGGCGUAAAGCGCGCGUAGGCGGUUUCUUAAGUCUGAUGUGAAAGCCCACGGCUCAACCGUGGAGGGUCAUUGGAAACUGGGAAACUUGAGUGCAGAAGAGGAGAGUGGAAUUCCAUGUGUAGCGGUGAAAUGCGCAGAGAUAUGGAGGAACACCAGUGGCGAAGGCGGCUCUCUGGUCUGUAACUGAC
rnacentral:rRNA from 2 species